GCCGGUGGGGUACUGCGGAGGACAUUA
rnacentral:rRNA from 1 species